AGAUUGAGUCUCGCUCUAUUGCCCAGGCUGGAGUGCAGUGGCACAAUCUUGGCUCACUACUACAACCUCUGCCUCCCAGGUUAAAGCGAUGCUCCUGCCUCAGCCUCCUGAGCAGCUGGGAUUACAGACUACUCCAUGUGAAGAUAAGGAUGAAGACUUUUAUGAUGAUCCACUUCCACUUAAUGAAUAGUAAACAUAUUUUCUCUUCCUUAUAAUUAUCUCGGUAACAUUUUCUUUUCUGUAGCUUUAUUGUAAGAAUACAGCAUAUCAUACAUAUAACCUUCAAAAUAUGUGUUAAUCAAUUAAUACUGGCAAAGCUUCUGGUGAACAGCAGGCUGUUAGAAGUUUUGGGAGAGUAAAAAAUUAUACAUGAAUUUUAGAUUAUGCAGGGGUCUAUAUUCUUAAACCUCACAUUGAUCAAGGGUCAACUCCACUUAUAAAAGAAAAAAAAAAUAGCUGUAAAACAGCCUUGAGCAGGUCCUUCAGGAGGUAUUCCAGAAGAAGGCAUUGUCAUCAUAGAAGAUAACAGCUCCACCCAAAUUACUGCCCCUGAAGACCUUCCAGAGGAACAAGAUAUGGAGAUGGAAGACAAUGAUAUUGAUGACCCUUUGUGUACACCCUGGAUAAUGUGUGUGUUUAAGUCUUGGUUUUUAACAAAAGAGUUUUAAAUGUUUAAAAAAAUAAAUUAUAGGUCGGGCACAGUGGCUCACAACUGUAAUCCCAGCACUUUGGGAGGCCAAGGCAGGCGGAUUGCUUGAGCCCAGGAGUUUGAGACCAGCCUGGGCAAUAUGGCGAAACCGUAUCUCUACCAAAAAAGAAAAAUAAAAU
rnacentral:lncRNA from 1 species